AAAGUUAAAUAUUUUUCACGUGUUUGUUUCACGUGUUUUUUUUGUUUUUGUGAAACAAACACGUGAAAAAUAUUUAACU